GGAGACAGAGACAGAGAAAAGAAAAAAAAAUGGCGGGAGAGAAAAUGAAUGCAAGGGUCUUACAUUUUACUUUGUUGAAAAAAUAAUAUUGUUAUCCAUAUCUACUUGAAUCAUCUAAAAACACCAUUCUAAUGACUUAAAUUAUACUAAAAUUCUCAAAAUCUUAAACAUGUCCAUAACUAAUAAAUCAUAUAAUAUGAUAGAUGUUAGACUAAUCAAUAUAUCAUGUGGAAACUCCAAUAUUUGCAAAUAUAAUAUGAUUUUUUUCUCGUAUUCUUUCCAUUCUUUUUUCUUUCUGUCAUUGUACUAUUUUCUUCUUUGUUUCCUUC
rnacentral:lncRNA from 1 species